AGGCAGGUCUCUGGGCUGUAACUGACGCUGAGGAGCGAAAGCAUGGGGAGCGAACAGGAUUAGAUACCCUGGUAGUCCAUGCCGUAAACGUUGGGCACUAGGUGUGGGGGACAUUCCACGUUUUCCGCGCCGUAGCUAACGCAUUAAGUGCCCCGCCUGGGGAGUACGGCCGCAAGGCUAAAACUCAAAGGAAUUGACGGGGGCCCGCACAAGCGGCGGAGCAUGCGGAUUAAUUCGAUGCAACGCGAAGAACCUUACCAAGGCUUGACAUGAACCGGAAUGAUGCAGAGAUGUGUCAGCCACUUGUGGCCGGUUUACAGGUGGUGCAUGGUUGUCGUCAGCUCGUGUCGUGAGAUGUUGGGUUAAGUCCCGCAACGAGCGCAACCCUCGUUCCAUGUUGCCAGCGGGUUAUGCCGGGGACUCAUGGGAGACUGCCGGGGUCAACUCGGAGGAAGGUGGGGACGACGUCAAAUCAUCAUGCCCCUUAUGUCUUGGGCUUCACGCAUGCUACAAUGGCCGGUACAAAGGGUUGCGAUACUGUGAGGUGGAGCUAAUCCCAAAAAGCCGGUCUCAGUUCGGAUUGAGGUCUGCAACUCGACCUCAUGAAGUUGGAGUCGCUAGUAAUCGCAGAUCAGCAACGCUGCGGUGAAUACGUUCCCGGGCCUU
rnacentral:rRNA from 1 species